GCCUCCCACGCCUGCUGGGAGGAUGUGUUUAGUGUCAACUCUGCGAUCCAGAUCCUGCCUGGCUGAAUUCCUAGAAGACAGGAAUUUAUGGUGUGAGAGCUCCAGUCCCCGCAGACCCACUGCCAAGGUCAACAGCACGAGGCGGGCAUCCCUGCCAAGGGGGGAGUGGAGUCGUGGCUUUAGGAGUUGGUUGCACGGAAAACCAAAGUACAUGCAUUAAAAAAGAAAAAAAAAAGAAAGAAAGAAAAAGAAAUCCCUUCUCUCCCUCAAGUUCCCAAACUGGGGCUUAAACAAGGUCUCGCAGCGUGGCCCGGGCAGGCCUCUGGUCUGGGAACAGAGUUCCCCUUGGAGACAGGGCCUGCGAUGCUAUCAGGGGGGCGUCCCUGGGGUCCCUGGAGGGUUUGGAAGUUGCUCCUUCUCUCAGACCCAAGCUCAGCAGCUUGGCCUCAGGGGGUGGGGGGCAGGAUCUCCAUGGUGACUCCGCCUCUCUGGCCAACCCAGGGCAGUUGACAUGAACACAACACAUAUCAGCCUGGGCCCUGUCACCAAGCCCCCUGAGCCUGCUUCGUCUCAUCUCCCCUCUGCCGUCUUGGUUCUGGGGUCUUGGCUGUCCAGAGAGCAAGCCCCUCGCAGACCUGGGCACCUAGGUCUCUGGCAGCAGAGAGACUGGGGAUGCUGCCUGCGGUAGCAGAGGGAAGGUGAGGAGGGGGCCUGGAGACGACCACCCAGACUCAAACCAGAUGACCCGAUGCUGGGAAGAUAGCCUUGGCCGCAGCCCCCAGCCCCGCAGGUAUAACUGAACAUUCACGUGUCACCGAUCUGUCCGACCCAUGCUGAGUUCCGCUGUGUCCCGGGCACCUGCAGAAAGGGGAAAUCAAGGCAGAGGAGGCUUCACUGCUAAGUGGGGCACGGAGGAAAGACUGAUGGCAAAAUGGAGGUGACUGUCACGUGAGACCAGGGGGCUGGAAGGGCUGUGGGUCCCCGAGGAGAGAGCGGCCGCCCUGGGGCUGCAGGGGAGGACGCUGGUUUGAGAAAGCUUUCUGAAGGGAGUUGCACCCUGAGAGGGGCCGGAGUUCAUCAGGCGGACACUCAGUGGGAGAGGGGGCUUGCUUGGAAGGAACAUUCCAGCUGAGGCCAAAGCAUGUGCAAAGGCCCAGAAUGUUUAUACCUUGGUAAGACUUUUCAUAUAAAUAAAUUCUCAAAUCCAAAAAACAAAACGGCCUCUGGCAAGCCACAUGUCUGGGUUUCUUGCUUGGAAAAGGAAGCCCUGCCC
rnacentral:lncRNA from 1 species